AUACGGAGGAUGCAAGCGUUAUCCGGAUUUAUUGGGUUUAAAGGGUGCGUAGGCGGAUGAUUAAGCGUGAGGUGAAAUGCCACUGCUCAACAGUGGAACUGCCUCGCGAACUGGUUGUCUUGAAUGCUCCUGCCGUGGGAGGAAUGUGUGGUGUAGCGGUGAAAUGCAUAGAGAUCACACAGAACACCGUUUGCGAAGGCAUCUCACGAAGGGGUGAUUGACGCUGAGGCACGAAAGCGUGGGGAUCAAACAGGAUUAGAUACCCUGGUAGUCCACGCAGUAAACGAUGAUAACUAACCGCUGGGUCGUAGUGAUUCAGUGGCCAAGCGAAAGCGAUAAGUUAUCCACCUGGGGAGUACGACCGCAAGGUUGAAACUCAAAUGAAUUGACAGGG
rnacentral:rRNA from 1 species